ensembl:lncRNA
CGUUACAGUGAGAAUCGGUCAUUCACUGAAUGAGUCUGAGAAGAACUGUGACCAGCAGGAGAGAAUCAGCUCUGGAGUGUCUUAAAAGACACGACAUACAAUGUAGUCUGGUAACUGUAUUGCAACCAUUCUGCAGUUUGUAAGCCAUAGAGACUUGUUUUAAUAUUAAUAACAGAUGUUGUUCUUUCAUAAAACAUUACAUAAAACACAACAUAAUUUCAAAACCCUGACAAUCAUGUAAAAAUACAGACAGCAGCUCUGUUUAAGAGAAAUGUUUAUUUUGGAAGGGUUCGGGCAAGUCAUCUAACCUUUCAUCUAUAUAACCAUUUUUUACACUCGACUGAACUGAAACUGGAGUCCUUACAGAAGAAUAGUAAUAUAUAUGGAUUGACUGGCUCGACCUGGUGCAUGGCAUCUUUAUACAAAGAAACUAACUGGCCCAGCAAGUUGGAAGCAGUGAAAUAUGACUUCAUACAGAAACUUGUUGAUCGUGGUUUCAGUUUCAAGGACAAAAUUUCAAAACUUCAGUUUGACAGACAUCUGGGCAGUGCUAUUUAUAACCAAGAUUGUGAAAGAGAUACUUCCAGUUUCGGAAGUCAGUUUGACCAAGGAGUUCAAAUAAAAGACCAGUCCGAGAUGGACAUGCUGUUCCUGCAAGACUUGAUGGAUGACCAAGCAUCUUCAGACAGAAAACAGACAGAUGUUCACUCCCACAGCGCUCCACAUGUGGAAAAGGCUGGCAAAGUGCUUUUGGCACUUGUGGAAGUGAAUCUUCUGGUCUUAAAAGAGGAGGAUCCUUCAUCCCAAAUUAAAAUUCUGAAUGGCUUACUGAAAGCUGAAAUUGAAAGUUGGAAGCGUAAAUAUAAGACUCCAGAGACCUGA